rnacentral:lncRNA from 1 species
GAAAGAAUAAGCAAAGUCUAGUCAGAAGUAGCGGUAGUCAACAACACUGUCCAUAACCUGUCGGUGUUUUAGACCGGCAACCCACCUAGGGGGUACCCUAGGUGGUCGUUUAUGCGGUAAGGGUCGUCGAAAAUCAAGGAAUCAAUGGUGAUGCAAGGAACACGAUUUAGACAGGUUCGGGCCGCUAGAUUGCGUAAUACCCUACGUCCUGUGUGUUGGUUUGUAUUGAUGUAUGUUCGGGUCUUGAGAUGUUAUGUUGAGGGGGGUCCCUGCCCGGCCUUAUAUACACGGGAGGGCAGAGUUACAAGUCUGAGUCCUAGUCGGGUACUAUUACAGAGCUCUACUCGGUAUUGGCCCGAGUAGUUUUCCAUAAAUGUACAAGACUAAUCCGAGAAGGAUACGCCCAUCCUUGUUCUGAUCUUAUCCGAGUACGUCCCUUGGUGGGCCGUCCAAGGCCUACUCGUGGACCUGGGGUGUAUGCCCGACAAGCCCCCGAGUACUUUGUAGUCGUACGCCACAGUUUUGGGCACUGCAGGCACUAUCCGAGUAGAUUUAGUCGUAGAGUUUGUAGGCUAAAGUGCUCGAGUACUGUCGCGUGGCUGGAAGGUACUCUUUUUGCUCCUUCGAGUUGUUUCCGUCCCGCGUAAUUUUAUAUGGCAGUGCGAUGUCAAUCGCACUCUAUAUGGAGUAGCCCCCGAGCCUUAGGUUGAGUCGAAGAGUCAGGCUUAGGGUCCAGCCAGCCAGGUUUGGAAACUAGCAUCGGUGUAACCUGUUACAACGAGCUCCUCCUCACCUCCAUAGACGAGGAACAUAUCUUUAGUCCUUCUCAAGUACUUAAGAAUGUUUUUCACCGCUGUCCAGUGACUCUCACCUGGAUCAGAUUGGUGUCUGCUUGUCAUACUUAGCGCAUAUGAAACAUCUGGGCGAGUACUUAUCAUUGCAUACAUGAUAGAUCCAAUAGCCGAGGCAUAUGGCACUUUACUCAUGCGAUCCCUCUCAUCAGCAGUCGAAGGACACUGAGUCUUGCUGAGAUGUAUGCCAUGUGACAUAGGCAAGAACCCUUUCUUUGCCUCUUCCAUGCUGAACCACUUCAACACUUUGUCAAUGUAAGUAUCUUGGCUUAAACCUAUAAGCCUUCUCGAUCUAUCUCUAUAGAUCUUAAUGCCCAGAAUAUAUGCCGCUUCCCCUAAGUCCUUCAUCAAAAAACUAUUUUUCAGUGAAGUCUUUACGGACUCAAGCAUAGGAAUGUUAUUUUCAAUCAGUAAUAUGUCAUCCACAUAUAAGAUUAGAAAUACUACAGAGCUCCCACUAACCUUCUUGUAAACACAAGACUCUUCUUCCUUCUUGGUGAAGUCAAACCCUUUGACCACUUCAUCAAAACGAAUGUUCCAACUCCUAGAUGCUUGCUUCAAUCCAUAAAUGGAUCUCUGAAGCUUGCAUACCUUUCCAGCAUUUUUCGGAUCGACAAAACCCUCGGGCUGUAUCAUAUACACGUCCUCAGCUAGGUUUCCAUUCUGGAAAGUUGUCUUGACAUCCAUCUACCAUAUCUCAUAAUCGAAAUAUGCAGCUAUAGCUAGAAUAAUCCGAAUGAACUUAAGCAUCACUACGGGCGAGAAGGUCUCAUCGUAGUCAACUCCUUGAACUUGUCGAAAACCUUUUGUGACAAGUCAUGCUUUAUAGAUGUGAACAUUUCCAUCCAUGUCCUUUUUCUUCUUAUAGAUCCACUUGCACUCUAUGGCUUUAACACCAUCAGGCGGGUCAACCAAGUUCCAAACUUGAUUGUCUCCCAUGGACUCUAUUUCGGAUUGCAUGGCACUCUGCCAUUUUUCGGAGUCUGGGUCCAUCAUUUCUUCUGCAUAUGUCGCAGGCUCAUCAUUGUCCAACAAUAAUAUUUCCCGCAUUUCACGGAGCCUUGCCGACCUUCGUGGUUGUGGCGGUGCUUCUCUUGCCAUGGGUAUCUCAACUUGUUCUGCUACGUUAGCAUCACUCAUUGAUUCUUGCCCGAUCGGCUCAUCUUGAACUUAUUCAAGAUGCACUGUCUUUCCACUCUUUUCUCCUUUGAGAAACUCUUUCUCUAGGAAAACCCCGUUCUGAGCGACAAACACUUUGCCUUCUGAUCGGUUGUAGAAAUAAUAUCCCAAAGUUUUCUUUGGAUAUCCCACAAAAAUGCACUUAUCCAACUUGGGUGUGAUCUUGUCCGAUUGAAGUCACUUGACAAACACUUCACAUCCCCAAAUCUUUAGAAAAGACAAACUAGGAACCUUUCCAGUCCAUAUCUCAUAUGGUGUCUUAACUACGGAUUUAGAUGAUACCCUAUUAAGUGUGAAAGCCGCUAUUUCUAGAGCGUAUCCCCAAAAUGACAACGGUAGGUCCGACUGGCUCAUCAUUGAUCGAACCAUGUCUAACAAAGUUCGAUUACGUCGCUCGGAUACACCGUUUCUCUGAGGUGUUCCAGGCGGCGUAAGUUGUGGAACAAUUCCGCAACUCUUUAGAUGAUUGCUAAACUCAUGGCUCAAAUACUCGCCUCCACGAUCAGAUCGUAAGGCUUUAAUUUUCUUGCCACACUGAUUUUCAACUUCAUUCUGAAAUUCCUUGAACUUUUCAAAGGUUUCAGACUUGUGCCUCAUCAAGUAGACAUAGCCAUAUCUACUAAAAUCAUCAGUGAAAGUUAUGAAGUAUUGGAAUCCUCCUCUAGCCGUCGUGCUCAUUGGUCCGCAUACAUCACUAUGUACGAGUUCCAACAAGUCUACUGCUCUCUCAGAAAAUCCUGUGUAAGACGUCUUGGUCAUCUUGCCUAGCAAGCAAGCCUCACAUGUCUCGUAUGAUUCAAAAUCAAACGAAGUUAGAAGUCCAUCAGAAUGGAGCUUCUUCAUGCGCUUUUCACUUAUAUGACCCAAACGACAAUGCCACAAGUAGGUAGGACUCAAAUCAUUAGGCCGAGGCCUUUUAGCACUUACGUUACAGACAGAUGAACCAUCAAGAUUUAAAACAAAUAAUCCAUUCACAAUGGGUGCAAAAGUCAUAAACAUAUCAUUCUUAGAGAUCACACAACCAUUGUUUUCACUCGCAAAUGAAUAACCAUCCUUCAUCAAGCAUGAAGGAGACAAAAUGUUUCGACUUAAACUAGGAACGAAAUAACAAAUAUUCAACUCCAUAAUAAAUCCUGACGGGAGGUGGAGUUGCAUCAUCCCAAUAGUCAACGCAGCAACUCUUGCAUUAUUGCCCACGUGGAAAUCAACUUCUCCUCUUUCCACGCUUCUACUUCUUAUCAUUCCCUGCAUCGAAUUGAAAAUAUGAGCAACCGAUCCGGUAUCAAAUACCUAAGAAUUAAUAAUUAUAUCAGCGAGAAAAAUAUUGUCUAUAACAUUAACAACAAGCGUACCUGAGGUAGAAGUACUCUUACUUCCGCCAUUCUUCAACGAAGCUAGGUACUGCUUGCAGUUUCUUUUCCAGUGACCAAGUUUAUGACAUUAAAAGCACUCUUUGUUUGGAGCAGGUCCAGGUCCAGCUUUAACCUUGGGCGUUGGGUUUGGCUUGGACGUUCCAGCCUUGCCCUUCUUGUUCCAAGAAUUGCCCUUUUUCUUAAAGCUAGGCUUGUUCUGUAUAGCCAUCACAUGGCUGGUACUAGCGCUUUUCUUAAUGUCUACCUCUGCUGUCUUGAGCAUACCACACAGUUCAUUCAGACCCUUCUCCGUCCCAUGCAUAUGGUAGUUCGAGAUGAAAUUCCCAUAGCUAGGCGGAAGAGAUGAAAGAAUGAAGUCAGUGGCCAACUCUUUGCCCAUUGGGAAGCCCAGCUUCUCCAAUCGCUGAGUGUAACCAACCAUCUUGAUUACAUGUGGUCCUACUGCUGCGCCUUCUGCUAGCUUACACUCCAGAAAGGCUUUGGACACAUUGAACCUUUCAGUCCUAGCCUGUGUCUGGAACAUGUCUUUGAGCGCCACGAUCAUAUCGUGUGCCUUAUGAUUUGUUUCAAACUGCAUCUGCAGCUCGGGUUCCAUGCAAGCAAGCAUAAGGCAGUUUACCUCAAGAUUAGCAUCAAAUGCCUUCUUGUAAGCAGCCUUAACGGCAGCAGAUGCAUCAUCAGCAGGUACUGGUGGUAGUGGGGUGUCUAGAACAUCUUCCUUUUUAUCGGCCCUGAGAACAAUUCUCAGGUUACGGAUCCAAUCCGAGUAGUUUGUUCCAUUCAACUUGUCCUUCUCAAGGACCGAACGCAAAGCAAACAAUGUGGUGGUGUUGCUAGGUGCCAUUUAAUCUACAACAAAAGUAAUGCAAAAUACACUAAGAACAACGUAUCCAUGAUAGAGCAAAUCACAUUAAACUAUUUUAACAGAAUCUACUCCCACUAAAAUCAAUAUCCCUCCAUUGAAACUUAGUGAUUCAGGAUCCACAACUAACAAGUCUACUAGUGAGCUUUAGCAUCACCGCUAGCAAACAAGGUAGAUCGGUAAGCAACUUUUGCCAAUCAUAUCACAUAUGACUCCUGUUGUUGGGUGACAUCUCUAUGUCUCGGCGCCCAACCUUUAUGCCCCAAGGUGCUUAACCGUUAAGAUAACCUUGUUAAGCAAACCAACCCUUAUGCGUGUAAGUGUCCGACACAAACCCGUCUAGUCAAGGAAAACAAGUGGCACCCUAAUUUCAUAGACUCACCACUAAUUGUACAAGACAUGGGACGGUGCAAGUUUUAGUUGGGAGGGCAUACUAACUUAAAAUUUGUGAGGGAUCGUUCUACUUCUAACAUCACAACAUGCAGAAAGUAAAACAUAAACAGAAUAGCAUUCACACAGUUGUGACACAGUAUGACCCGUUUUUCUUAUGGUGAUCUCCAUCUCCAUAGAAUCUGUUCACCAUGGUGAUCUCCAUCUCCAUGUUCCAUGUGCGCCAUCCUCCUGGUGAUGAGUCCUCCAAGAACUAGAACAUGCUAUUACGCCUAAUAGCUAGUAAAGAAGCUAGUAAUGAAGAUUACAUAGUUGCUUGGAUCAUCACAGAUUGGUACGCAGACCAUUAAAUACAUUAAGGUGACAACACAUAUGCCUCCUGCCGUGUUGCCGUACGUGCGACACGCAGGUCACGAAUGAGUUACACACAUGCAUCACAUACACAAAGGGGCCAUACUGAUCACAAGAUACAUACAUCCUGCAAAACAGAGUUAAACGUCCUAACGUUCCAAACUUCGGAGGCCCGAAAUUCCAUCUUCCAAGCCGAAUUUGGGAAAUCUAAUUUCGCCAAAAAUGGCGAAGAUGUUGAAUUUCAUGUGUAACUUUUUCUGGAGAUCAAUUUUCAUAUAAAAUUCGCCCCGAUCCGAGAUCGUACCAAAAAGUUACGGCUGAUUUACCGAAGCAUACGCAUACGGUAAAAAUCCCGACCCCGGCAGUAGAUCUCAUCUACUAUUGCACAUCUAAUGCGCCUGGCGUAUGACCCUGGAUUUCGAUUCGACCAAUCAUAUUGAUCUUCACUCACUGCAACUGGAAUUACGUGUAUCACUUAACUCCGAUGGCGGAAACCGACCGGUAGGAGUAUGUCGUUACACUACCAUUGCAGCAAGAACACGAAACCAGGACAUAGAUCAAACUGAAAACUCGCAUAUCUCCAUAUGCACACAUCCCGAAUCCAAAACUAAACAGCUACGGCUCUGAUACCACUGUUAGGUUAUGAGGUAGGCUACACUAGCACAAAUCAAAAUUUCUACCACGUAAAACCAGGAAGAACUGCCGUAUAAGGAUCACGGGAUUACCACUCGACGCACUACUGGUGCGGAAUAUGUAGAUUUGCGUCGAUGCAGCGAAGAUGAUCAACGUAGUCGUACGUAGUCGAUCAACGUAGUCGUACGUAGUCGAUCACGUCAACGACCAGCAGCUCCUCAGCAGCUCGUCCACAUGCAGCAAGAUCGCACUCGUGCCGCGGCUCAUCGUCAGCUCGUCGUGGCUCGUCGUGGCUCGUCGGCGGCUCGUCCGAGUGCUGCAGGCGCAACACCUCUAAGGUAUCAACAUGUGCAGGGAGGAAGCGUCGCAAGCCGGACUGCUAGAUCCGCGAGUUGCAACAGGCGAGGGCGUGGGAGGCGCGGCAGAUGUGUUUUUGCCAAAAGGUGUAAACCCUAGGGCGCCCCCACCCCUCUAUUUAUAGAGGUUCCUGACGGGCCUCUGGGUCCGAGGCCCAUUAGUACUUCUAAACCUAAUCCAACUCGGAUCAGAUCCGAAUUGGGCUUCCAGCCCCUUAAGUGUGUGACCCUAUGGGUUCGGAUACGUAUAGACAUGGCCCGAGUACUCCUACUCGGCCCAAUAGUCGGUAGCGGCCUCUAGCAAGACGUGCCAACUCCUAUACGCACACGAAGAUCAUAUCAGACGAACCAUCACAACAUAAUAUACAUGCUAUUCCCUUUGCCUCACGAUAUUUGGUCUAGCUUCAAGCCGACCGCUCUUUCUCGAUCCUGUGAUUCGGAAUCCCUUUGUAGGUUAACUCUUAACCGUACGUAGCAUGGCCAUGCAUUUUCGGAUCCGAUCACUCGAGGGGCCCAGAGAUAUCACUCUCAAUCAGAGAGGGGCAAAUCUCAUCUUGAUUGGUCUCAUAGCAUGCUUCUUGACAAACCCGAAAGCUACCUUUAUAACUACCCUGUUACGGCGUAGCGUUUGAUAGCCCCUAAGUAGAUCGAUCCACAUCUUGAAUACAUGCGACAAUCUCAGGUCUAAGGACAAAGCGUAUAUGUUGUUUAAAGAGAGAACUACUUCUCGUGUUGGGUCAGUCCUAGCACAUGUCUCCACAUGUGUCCACAUUAUUAGUUCAACAUCUCCAUGUCCAUGACUUGUGAAACAUAGUCAUCAACUAAUACAUGUGCUAGUCUAAUAUUCAUGUGUGUCCUCACAUGAACUCCGACUAGGGACAACUUUAGAAUAACCAUACAAGUAAAGAGUUUCACAUACAAUUCACAUAAUUGCAAAUCAAUUCAAGUAGCCUUUAAUGGAUAUUCAAUGAACACAAUAUACAAAUCAUGGAUACAAAUGGAAUAUCAUCAUCUCUAUGAUUGCCUCUAGGGCAUACCUCCAACACGUACAACGUCCCACCCCGCAGUGUGGCCUCGCCACCGCAUCGAAGCUGGCCCCGCCUCACCGGGCCAUGCGCCGCCCUCCCCUCAAGCAGCCCCAUGCUCGUCCUGCCACCACACCAUUUGCCUGACGCCCAGCAACCUCACACAUGCACCGCCAGUGCCGCCUGCCUUCAUCCCUGCGUCAGCCGUGGCCUCGUGCAGCAUCGCCCACCGUGCUACCUCGCGCAUCGAGUUGCCAGCCACGACCCAACGCAGCACUGCUCGCCGUAUUGGCCCGCGUGUGCAGCUCGCUGUGGGCCCAUGGCCCAGCGUCGUCCCGUUGCCGUACCGCCUUGAUUCGUGCCAGACAAGCAAGGGCUAGUGAUGAUUCGAGCAGAGGGUGGUGGAGGAGUGCGGUCGGCAUCGAUUUGGGCAGAGCAUCUAAUCGAUUCAACUACAGCAUGAGGAGUGGGGUGGGGAGAGCAGCUGAAAUGAACCCAAAUUCCCAUUUCUGAGAAUUCAAGCCUACCCACCUCCGUGAUAGUCCCAGGAAGGCUAUCACGUUCGAAUCCCUGUCUCAGAUAGUACAAAUCCAUAUCAACACAGAAAUAUAAAGCAACAACAGAGUACAAUAGCAUAAAUAUCAUAAGUAUCGAGGACAUCUCUUCGGCAAUGCCGGUACAAGUCCAUCAGGACUAAAUCAAGAAAAGUAAAACAUCUACGCAACGGAAACACAAGCUAUGGCGAACUCCAUCUCCAGAGAUGACUCGAGCGGAGAGCCAUCCCUAGUCUUCCCAUCCGUCGUUGUCGAAGUCAUAGUCGGGCUCCGACCCUGAAAAGCCACCAUCUACCCGAGAAGCGGGUAGGUCUUGUCAACUCCCAAUAGCAGCAAGCUAAGGAAAUAGGGGAAUUAUACUAUAUACAUGAGUAAACCUAUAUAUGGCUAUAGGGGUUUAUGUAGCAGCAAUCAAGGAAGCAGCAAAGCAACACCAUCUCCGAGGUCAACACCUCAAUGAAAGAAGUCGACACAAAUCAUCGGAUCCUUCACCCAAGGAUCCAGCACCCAAACACACUAGGCGAUGUGAGGGCUCCCUCCCUUCACAUCUCAACGGCAAACACGGGCCUAUCUCAAAACGGGGAAGAAAGAAUAAGCAAAGUCUAGUUAGAAGUAGCGGUAGUCAACAACACUGUCCAUAACCUAUCGGUGUUUUAGACCGGCAACCCGCCUAGGGGGUACCCUAGGUGGUCUUUUAUGCGGUAAGGGUCGUCGAGAAUCAAGGAAUCAAUGGUGAUGCAAGGAACACGAUUUAGACAGGUUCGGGCCGCUAGAUUGCGUAAUACCCUACGUCCUGUGUGUUGGUUUGUAUUGAUGUAUGUUCGGGUCUUGAGAUGUUAUGUUGAGGGGGGUCCCUGCCCGGCCUUAUAUACACGGGAGGGCAGGGUUACAAGUCUGAGUCCUAGUCGGGUACUAUUACAGAGCUCUACUCGGUAUUGGCCCGAGUAGUUUUCCAUAAAUGUACAAGACUAAUCCGAGAAGGAUACGCCCAUCCUUGUUCUGAUCUUGUCCGAGUACGUCCCUUGGUGGGCCGUCCAAGGCCUACUCGUGGACCUGGGGUGUAUGCCCGACAAGCCCCCGAGUACUUUGUAGUCGUACGCCACAGUUUUGGGCACUGCAGGCACUAUCCGAGUAGAUUUAGUCGUAGAGUUUGCAGGCUAAAGUGCUCGAGUACUGUCGCAUGGCUGGAAGGUACUCUUUUUGCU